CAGCAGCCGCGGGAACACGAAGGGGGCUAGCGUUGUUCGGAAUUACUGGGCGUAAAGGGCGCGUAGGCGGCCAUUCAAGUUAGAUGUGAAAGCCCUGGGCUCAACCUAGGAAUUGCAUUUGAUACUGUUUGGCUUGAGUUCGGGAGAGGUGAGUGGAAUUCCCAGUGUAGAGGUGAAAUUCGUAGAUAUUCGGAAGAACACCAGUGGCGAAGGCGGCUCACUGGCUCAUUCUAGACGCUGAGGUGCGAAAGCGUGGGGAGCAAACAGGAUUAGAUACCCCAGUAGUCCCUGUCUCUUAUAC
rnacentral:rRNA from 1 species